CACGACGGUGAACGAAACAAAGGGGGAGAAUCAUUUCACAAUUCUGAUGAACUAAAUUCCGAGAAUCAUAUCGAAAAGGAGGAUUUAGCGGAUCACAUUAAUGUGGAAAAGGUUCCAGAAAAAUUGCAUGGAGAUUGGAUCAAGGUGGAGAGAAAGAAAAAAAACAACAAAAACAAUGGGGGCAAAUCUGGUGGGAUGUCUAGAGGACUAGAAAAUCAGAAUUCACAUCUAGACAUUCUAAAUAUGGUAGGGAAGGUGGAUAUGCAGAGACAUAUGCAAAAAGAUGAUGGAAAUGACACUGCAAUAUCUAAUGCGCGCAAUACUAAUAGAGAAAAGAAAAAACGGUUAUGGAAUGAUUAUAGUGGAGCUAGCAACAACAAAGUUAAUGAGAGCUACAACACCACUAGUUCAUCUCCAGUGGGCGUGUAUAAAGGAGACACCACUGUUAAAAUCCAAAACAUUUCAACAAAAGUGCAUGUGAGAAAUAGUAACAACUUAAAG
rnacentral:lncRNA from 1 species